rnacentral:rRNA from 1 species
GAAGUAGGAAAGGGCGCAUGGGGAAUGCCUAGGCUCCCGGAGGCGAAGAAGGACGCGGCAAGCUGCGAAAAGUUGCGGGGAUUGGCAGGCACGAGUUGAUCCGCAAGUAUCUGAAUGGGGCAACCC